rnacentral:rRNA from 1 species
CCUACGGGAGGCAGCAGUGGGGAAUAUUNGACAAUGGGCGCAAGCCUGAUCCAGCCAUGCCGCGUGANUGANGAAGGUCCUUAGGGUUGUAAAGCUCUUUUGUCCGGGAAGAUAAUGACUGUACCGGAAGAAUAAGCCCCGGCUAACUUCGUGCCAGCAGCCGCGGUAAUACGAAGGGGGC